rnacentral:misc_RNA from 1 species
UGUGUUCCUAAUUAAUUUGUGUUCACCACGUUUUACGGUAAUCAGUUCACUACACGCCGUUGUCAAGUAUAGACGACACGCUGAUGACGUCAUAAGCGAAUAGCGAGAAAACUAGUGAAGUGCAAGACGAGCGAUACCUUAGAACAUCGUCGCAUUUUGGAAGGCGUCGAUGAUUUUAAUAAUAUACAAUUACCAAUAAAA